rnacentral:tmRNA from 1 species
GGGGCCGACUGGUUUUGACAGCGAGACCAAUGGCAAUGUAAGCAUGUCGAGCGCUGGGAUACAGCUCGUAAAUCUCAUAUUUCACACUUUUAAUUGGCGAUAACAAUUACGCUCUUGCCGCUUAAUCCGAAUUAUAGUAGGAUUUAGCCUCGUCUCUACUAGGUAGAGAAGCGAGAUGUUCCUGAAUAGCCUCUGUCGACGGCGAUUCAAUUAGGGGCACCAUAAAUGUCGAUAUAAGGGCAGUAUUCGCUUUGGUACUGCCACCAAAACCUUAAGAAGCUAAGUGUGUAUUAGGCUGUUUCUAGUCAGGUACGCAUCGAAAAUCAAUUAGAAACUAAACAUGUAGAAGGCUUUGUAAUUGCUUGUUUGGACGAGGGUUCGAAUCCCUCCGGCUCCACUG